AUAUGCCUUUGAGUGGGGGACAACAGUUGGAAACGACUGCUAAUACCGCAUAACGUCUACGGACCAAAGGGGGGGCUCUUCGGACCUCCCGCUCAUUGAUUAGCCCAAGUGAGAUUAGCUAGUUGGUAAGGUAAAGGCUUACCAAGGCGACGAUCUCUAGCUGGUUUGAGAGGAUGAUCAGCCACACUGGGACUGAGACACGGCCCAGACUCCUACGGGAGGCAGCAGUGGGGAAUAUUGCACAAUGGGCGAAAGCCUGAUGCAGCCAUGCCGCGUGUGUGAAGAAGGCCUUCGGGUUGUAAAGCACUUUCAGUUGUGAGGAAAGGUGGAUAGUUAAUAGCUGUUCACUGUGACGUUAGCAACAGAAGAAGCACCGGCUAACUUCGUGCCAGCAGCCGCGGUAAUACGAGGGGUGCAAGCGUUAAUCGGAAUUACUGGGCGUAAAGCGUGCGUAGGUGGUUUGUUAAGCAAGAUGUGAAAGCCCCGGGCUCAACCUGGGAACUGCAUUUUGAACUGGCAGACUAGAGUAUUGUAGAGGGUAGUGGAAUUUCCAGUGUAGCGGUGAAAUGCGUAGAGAUUGGAAGGAACAUCAGUGGCGAAGGCGGCUACCUGGACAAAUACUGACACUGAGGCACGAAAGCGUGGGGAGCAAACAG
rnacentral:rRNA from 1 species